rnacentral:lncRNA from 1 species
ACAGUAUCAACACACACCAAAUACAUAUGCAUAGAACAACCAUCCAUUGAUUGUAUUGGAUUAUUCCUCUCGUCCGCUGUCAUCUCUCCAAACAAUCACAAUACCGUUACACCAAUAGAGAAUAGAAUAAUAAACAAUAACAAAAAUCGGGGCCACGUUCCCAAACAAUCAAGAGCACGGAUGACUGAUGCAUCACAGAACAACGGAUGUAUCUCUCGUUUCAGGGCUGCGUGAACAAUAGUAGCUAGUUGGUCUGUGUGAUCUGAUUCGAUCCAAUCCGAUCGGUCAAGCGGAGUGUAAGGUGAUUAGACGAGCUCGAGCCGUGCUGAGCACUCGGCGUACCUGG